rnacentral:rRNA from 1 species
GACGAAGGAUGCAAGCGUUAUCCGGAUUCAUUGGGUUUAAAGGGAGCGUAGGCGGCCUGGUAAGUCAGUGGUGAAAUCUCGCAGCUUAACUGCGAAACUGCCAUUGAUACUGCUAGGCUAGAGUACAGAUGCUGUGGGCGGAAUAUGACAUGUAGUGGUGAAAUGCUUAGAUAUGACAUAGAACACCAAUUGCGAAGGCAGCUGGCUACGCGAAUAUUGACACUGAUGCACGAAAGCGUGGGGAUCAAACAGG